UGAGCAUCGGCUCACCUCCUCUCCCUCUCACUCAAGUCCUUGCCGCCGCCACCACCACCCAUGCCGGCAGCUUCCGGCAAGCUCCGGCACUGCGCAGCACGCCCCCGAGCUCCACACGAUGCGCGCCUCCCUCCCCUCCAGCCAGAUUCCCCGCUCCCGGCCUCUACCGCCUACCCGGAACCCCACCCCCAUGGCUAGGGUUUUGGGUAGGGCUUCGCCGGCGUGUCUCCGGCGGCCCCAGAUUCGUCCCUCUUCCUUCCUGGUCAGGAUCCGCCACCCCUACACCUCACCUUCUCAUCAUAUCCUUUGCUGCAGAAGGAGAUCUAACACGUGGUGGGAGUUCCCCAUCCACCACGGUCGCCGUCGUCAAGGGUUUUCUUCACGGAGAUGUGAAGUCGCCAUGGACCUGCCUCCAUGGCUAAAGAUGGGGAGGCACUCGAAGGGAUGAGCCCCUACUCUGGGGAGAGAGUAGAGGGCAUGUUGGGCGCUGCUGCUGGGGGGGAUUACGACGUGGGCUUGCCGGAGCUACUGCUGGCUAUUCCUGCUAGAGAGAGAGAGAGAGAGAGAGAGAGAGAGAGAGAGAGAGAGAGAGAGAACAGAGAAGAGAGAACAGAGAACGGAGAUCAGAGAGAUGGAUUCGAACGCCUACUGAUCUGGUCUUGUGGAGAAAAAAGAGAUGGGUCAGGAAGAGAGAGAGAGCAGAGAGAUGCAAGAUAGAGAGAGCACAGAGGGAUGUUGAUUGCAGGACAUUCAGUUGUUUCGCUCAUUGCCAUGCCGCAAGUUUCCGACAUUGUCGUGCCUGCACAUCGUCGACUUCGUCGGAAAUCCGUGUGCACGUACUCCACCAUCUGCCGGAACUUCUUCUGACCUGAGGCAGGGGGAGAUCCAAUACCAAUAUUUAUGAUUUGACAUGAGUGAGUAUAUUGUUCUGACUUUAUGAUACAUGUGUUUUGUACAUAUAUUCUCAUGUUCAACCGGUAAUGAGCAUAUGCUCUUUUCUGAUGUUGCAUUAAUCAAUGUUUCGAAAAUGAUGUAUCUGUGAUAAAAAUAUUGAAGUAAUGGAUAUGUCCAUAAUUGGCUAUGAAUCAAAGAGGUAGAUUCAUAAAAUGAUGGUGGUUAUAAGAAGAAGUCGGUUCAUUUACUGCUGUAGUAAGAAAGUGGAACAAACUGAUUUUGUGCAUAUACUAAAUUUGCUUGCAUGCUAUAUUUUUAUGCAUUUCCUGCAUACUGAGGGGUGUGUGCGUGAUCUCUUUUCUAAGGCCAUGAAAUAUUUUAAGGUAGCUGCUCUUGAUGAGGGUCAAUGGCUUGCGUACUGUACUUCUACAGAUGCUUUCUUGCAUAAUGACCUAUGUGCAUGCUCUCUUUCCUCAAGUCAAGAUUUGGUCAGGGAAGCUACUUAGUAUAUGUAUGUCCAAUAAAUUCAGAAGUAGGAUAACAUGGCUAUGAGGUUGCAUCAUGAGUCUGAAACCAAGGCUCUCCUGUCUAAAUAAUGACCUCAUCAGAAAAACAAAAUCAUUUGAUGAUUUAUAUACAAUUUUACUAUAGUUAUUCUCAUGUCAAAUGUGGUUCAUGUAGAAACUACUACAUGCACAAAUAAGAUCGUAGUAAUACUUUUUCAAUGAUUAUCUUGGAUGUCAUGUCUUCAUGUUAUUCAAGGAUUUUGAUAUCUGAAAGUUAUGACAAUAUAGAUAGGGAGAUAGCCCUCUGUGUCCUAGAGGUCACUGUACGUUGUAGCGAAGGGCACGCUGCAAUUAGCGGGCACACGGAUGCGGUGAUCCUGCAUAAGCUUUGCUGUGUUGAUUUCUUGUCAAGGAGGUCGUUGUCCAAGCCUUUCCUGUGCCUUGAUUAGUGGUACUUCUCUCCCAUUCAACAUAUUUCACUAAUAUAUUUGAUUAUUGAGUGAUAUGACCUAAUUAAUCUGUACUUAGACACACAGCCAAAGAGUAGCAUGCAAACUUUGUACAAGACAGUCUGACCUAGCACUUGGUAAUGAGAUGAAAUAUGUUCGGUAAUGCAAGCAUUUUUGUUAGGAAUCACUUACACCAUGAACCUAUUUGUAAAGCAGAGGAUGAGACGUUCAUCCGAUUUAUAGAUUGAGAAAUGAAAUAGGUAGCGGAGCAAUUGAUAAGUAGGGAGUGAGGCAUUGAUCAACAAUUGAUAAAGCAGGGAAAUGAGGCAAGGCAUUGAUCCCAAUUAUCCAUGGGAAACUGAAGAGAGGCAACAAUUUUAGAGAAUAAGAAGGCCACCGUGCAGAUCUCAGAUCUUGGGUAUAAUUAAUAUUCCGAGACAAUAUAGAGUUGCCCAUGUAUGUAAAACAAUGGAGACAAGGCAUAGACAUAGGUGAUACUAUACUACUCUGUCCGGCAUGGUACGUACUAACUGUUCUCUCCCUAGGUUCUUCCCCUACUUAUUCUUGUUGACAAUGCACUUUGUGGAAUUAUUAUUGCCAAGGCUUCAAUUAUAAGAAAAGGAUUUUUCUGUAUGUACAUUACAGUCUCAAAUUAAUUUCUAAUCAAUUUUAAACCAUUAUUAUAAUCUAAGCUUUUUCAUGGGAAAUAAAUAAUGAUGGAUGAUCAUUUUUUUCAUGGAUUAUUAUUGCCAAGGCCUAGCUAAGACAAGAUAUAACCAGAAAUGCUUGUUCUACGUAUACACACAUGUUAUCAUAUGGUUCUGUUACCUAACCAUUCUUUUUUUUAUUUUUGCAUGAGAUUACCACUGUUUCUUUUAAGGUGUUGUAUAUUUGUUUUUUAGUUGAGAUUUCAUUUCUUUCAAUUAUUUUUAAGGUAUAUAGUUUGUAUGACUUUGCACAAUACAAUGUUAUUUUGCUAAUGUGGUCUUCGGUGUCACCUUUGUAAGGAUUGCUUCAUUAUAUCUACGGCAAAAUCCAAGUCGUCAGAUUGGAAGUGAUGGGUGGAACUUUGUUCUCUAGGCACCAAUGUCUAACACUCUUGCCUGAUAAUGUUAUGUGCCGGGAUGAGAGCAAACGAGAGAUGGCAGGAUGUGUGUGCCUAAUGAAGAAGGAUCUUUGUGCAACACGCCUGAUUCGCCGGACACAAACGGCACUCACUAAGGACCAUAUGUUUGUAACUGUACGUGUUUGAGAUUUUCUCUGGCUGUUGUGUUAGGAUUUGUAUCCCGUUGCAACGCACGGGCAUUUUCCUAGUUAAUCUUAUGCUGGCAUAGAGUGGGACUAGUGCCCGUAAGAUCAUCAAGAGUAUAUC